rnacentral:lncRNA from 10 species
AGAUUGCUCUCGGCGCGCGCAGCCCGCACGGUCCAGGAGCUGGGUCCAGGCCCCCGAUGGCGGCUCCUCGGGAUGCUGGUUCCGUCCUCCCAGGGCCGGUCCCCGCGAGAUCCGAAGCAGCGGGGUCGCCUCGGGGAGCUCCUGCCCAGGCCUGGUAGCCCCUUCCCUUCGAUCUGCCCCUGCCUGUGACUAUCCACAUUCGUCACCUUGCUCCCCGAAAAGUUCCAGGCCCCAGGUGAGGAGCCGUGUAGGCCCAAUACGAUUGGAUGAAGGAGUGUACGGGGCAGGAAUCGUCAGACUGGCCUCUGGAGAGGAGUUUGCAGCCUCUCCGUGCUCCGGGCCCGGGAAAUGUCCACCUUAAUCAUCACCUCUUUGCAUGGAGCCUGACUGGCAAAUAAAUGCUGGGUGAGCUCACUAACGAUGAUUAUUCAGUCAAUGCUAUUUCCCACACGAGUCAACAAAUGUUUCCGAAGCACCCACUACGUGCCAGGCUCAUUCUUUACUUCCCAAACGUCUUACUUUUUCCAUUUUUUAAUUUUUGUCGCCAAUUAAAUUGUAAUCUGUCAAGGCAGGGAUCUUACCCGGCUCUUUAGAGCUUUGCAUUUAAGUGGAAACUUCGCAGCCAAUUUGGACGGAUGGAUGGAUAGGAUGGAUGGAUGGAUGGUUGGAUGGAUGGAUGGAUGGUUGGAUGGAUGGAUGGAUGGCUGACUUCAAAUGCG